rnacentral:misc_RNA from 1 species
GAUGAAGAACGCAGCGAAAUGCGAUAAGUAGUGUGAAUUGCAGAAUUCAGUGAAUCAUCGAAUCUUUGAACGCACAUUGCGCCCUUUGGUAUUCCUUAGGGCAUGCCUGUUCGAGCGUCAUUUGAACCCUCAAGCUGAGCUUGGUGUUGGGCGCCUGUCCCCCCAGGGACUCGCCUCAAAAACAUUGGCGGCCGGUACGUUGGCUUCGAGCGCAGCAGAAACGCGAACUCGGGGCCGCGCGCAUCGGCGACCAGAAGCCUAUUUCAUCACUUUGACCUCGGAUCAGGUAGGGAUACCCGCUGAACUUAAGCAUAUCAAUAAGCGGAGGA